rnacentral:rRNA from 1 species
AUUGAACGCUGGCGGAAUGCUUUACACAUGCAAGUCGAGCGACAGCGCGGCCUUCGGGCUGGCGGCGAGCGGCGAACGGGUGAGUAAUGCAUCGGAACAUGCCCAGUCGUGGGGGAUAACACUUCGAAAGAAGUGCUAAUACCGCAUACGUCCUGAGGGGGAAAGCGGGGGAUCGCAAGACCUCGCGCGAUUGGAGUGGCCGAUGUCAGAUUAGCUAGUUGGUGGGGUAAAGGCCUACCAAGGCGACGAUCUGUAGCUGGUCUGAGAGGAUGAUCAGCCACACUGGGACUGAGACACGGCCCAGACUCCUACGGGAGGCAGCAGUGGGGAAUUUUGGACAAUGGGGGCAACCCUGAUCCAGCCAUUCCGCGUGAGUGAAGAAGGCCUUCGGGUUGUAAAGCUCUUUCGGCAGGAACGAAACGGUGGGCUCUAACAUAGUCCGCUAAUGACGGUACCUGAAGAAGAAGCACCGGCUAACUACGUG